AGCUUUAAGUUUUAUUUAAAGUGAGACCUGCCCAGUGCUAAUUAGUAAACGGCCGCAGUACCUUGACUGUGCUAAGGUAGCAUAAUCAGUUGGCUUUUAAAUGGAGUCGGGAAUGAAUGGAUUAAUAGGGUUAAACUGUCUCUACUAUAUUAAAUUGAACUUACUUAUUAGGUGAAAAUGCCUAAGUUGUAAAAGAAAAAAGACGAGAAGACCCUAGGAGUUUUAACUAGAUGCUAUUUAUUAUAGUUAAUGUUUUUGUUGGGGCGACAUUGGAACAAUUUUAUUUAACUUCCUUUAUGUUUAUAGGCCGACUUUGUAUGUAAAUUUAAACUACCCUAGGGAUAACAGCGUAAUUCUUUUUGAGCUUGCGACCUCGAUGUUGGACUAGGAAUUUGGUGGGCUAGCCGCCUA
rnacentral:rRNA from 1 species